rnacentral:rRNA from 1 species
AACGAACGCUGGCGGCAGGCUUAACACAUGCAGGUCGAACGGUUGUAGCAAUACAGCAGUGGCAGACGGGUGAGUAACACGUGGGAACCUUCCUAGGGGUACGGAACAACUCAGGGAAACUUGAGCUAAUACCGUAUACGUCCGUGAGGAGAAAGAUUUAUCGCCCUUAGACGGGCCCGCGUCGGAUUAGCUAGUUGGUGGGGUAACGGCCUAUCAAGGCGACGAUCCGUAGCUGAUCUUAGAGGAUGAUCAGCCACACUGGGACUGAGACACGGCUCAGACUCCUACGGGAGGCAGCAGUGGGGAAUCUUGGACAAUGGGCGCAAGCCUGAUCCAGCCAUGCCGCGUGAGUGAAGAAGGUCUUCGGAUUGUAAAGCUCUUUUGCCAGGGACGAUAAUGACGGUACCUGGAGAAUAAGCCCCGGCAAACUUCGUGCCAGCCGCCGCGGUAAGAC